UCGAGCCUAUACAGCUUGGAGUAAGACAACAUGCAUGAAGAGGAUGAUGUGGACAAAAUACUCAUUUGCCUAAUAAUUCUGCACUCCCUGUAUACAAGAGACCUGGUUUAGAGCCCACCAAUUUAUCAACACUAGCCCCUUUCUUACCUCUAGAGCCUCUAUCUGGUAUAAUAAGAAAAUAUUAGUUGGUAAGAAACCGUUCAGAUGGGAGGUAUCAACCAAGUGGGGGAUUUAUUUGGGCAAACUGGCAUGAAAACGUUUGCGGAAAUCAGACAAGAAUUUAAUCUUGAUUAAAGGGAAUUUUGGAGGUUUUUUCAAGUUAGACACUGUAUUAAAGCCAUUUUGAACAAUAAUCCAGACCCUUCAUCUAGUAUUCAGGAGGUGUUCACUGCUCCUGGCAUCAAUAGAAUCAGAGAAUCCAAAUUUUAUGGGAUCUUCAGAGAGGAACACUCUCCCCAUCUGGAGGGGCUGAGGCUGUGCUGGGAAUUCAAAUUUCAGAGGAUAGUUGGAAGAAGCUGGUUUCAGUAUUAUUCUCACUGGAAGACAGAGACUAUGGGUCCGUUUAGCUUUCAUAACAGGAUGCAGGAUAAUACUGAGGCACUGGAAGUCAUCUAACCCCUGUUGUUUCAGGGAAUGGACUGAACAAAUGUCCAAGAUGGCAUUAUAUGAACAGGUUACGCACAGAGUUAAGGGGAGAGAAGAUAUUUUUGAUCAGGUCUGGGGUACCUUUUUGUGGUACAUCAACAAUGUAUCUUAGAUAAUGGGAUAAGUUGUUUAUUUCUUAGUUUAUUUUUAUUUGUCAUUGUUAUUGUUGUUGUUGUUUUUCUUUGACAGCCAGUAGAGGAAAGAAAUUGUUUAAUAUAACCAGUGUCCAAGAUCGAGUUUAGUUUCCAGGCUAAACUAGUUCCGUCCAGCCCUAAUAUAAACUACAGGUAUAUGUGUGUGUGUGUGUGUGUGUGUGUGUGCGCGCGCAUGUGCGUGUGUGUGUGUACGAAUACAUACAUACUAAGAAUUCCAGUGGAGCUUUAAAUGAUUAAUAAAUAAUUCAAAAGUCCAAAACCUGUAACCAUGACAUUUAUAUAGUGUCAAGCCUACAUGUAACUGUCUUUUGAUUUUCACCUUCCCGUUCUCAUUAUUUGAUAUUUUUCAUCUUUUUUUCUCUGAACCUAUUGUUGCCAUGGCUUGAAGUUUCCUGCCAAUAUCUCCUAUCAUGGUUGCUUCUAUAAUUUGGACCAUAUCAUUGCCAGACUCAAGUUGACUUUGGGUAACUCCAGGCCUCCUUCUCAACAGAGUGAACACCUGUGUGUUGUGUUGUUUGGGGGGCCACCUUACAGAAGACACAGACUCUGUUGUAAGCCUGAUUUGCGCUUAAUGCCAUCGUUCCAAGGUGUCACUGACUCGCCAGUAGUCACUGCAUUCUUUUCAGUUGUUACCAGAUUUUUCCUUGUCAGUGAUGUUUUUAGUGUGAGUCAUGCAUAUCUUUCUCUUUCUCUAAUAGUUACAUCUUCAGACUGAGUUGUACACGUUUGGGCCAAUGGGCCAUUGGCUAUGUGACCACUGAUGGAAACAUACUGCAGACCAUUCCCAACAACAAACCGCUGUUCCAGGCUUUAAUCGAUGGCUACAAGGAGGGCUUCUACUUAUUCCCAGAUGGUCGCAGUUACAAUCCUGACCUCACUGGUUUAUGUGAGCCGACACCUCACGAUCACAUCAAAGUCACACAAGAGCAGUAUGAGCUGUACUGUGAAAUGGGCUCUACCUUUCAGCUUUGUAAGAUCUGUGCUGAGAAUGACAAAGACAUCAAGAUUGAACCAUGCGGUCACCUCAUGUGUACUUCCUGUUUUACUGCCUGGCAGGUACCGUAACAAAUCUUAUCACAGAAGUCCAUUUCAAAGUUAUUAAAUAUUGGUGGUAUUGCAUGUGUUUAUGCAUUUGUUCAUUGUCACACUGAGAAAUGUUCUGUCCAGUUGGGUAAUAUAAUGUUUUAUUUGUGAGCCUGCAUUAAUGAGCCUGCAUAGAAGUUUGAAAAGACUUCUGAAAAAUACAGUCAAAGCAGCUUUCUUCAGCAGUCAGUCCAACAACCCCCCCCCUCUCUUCCUUACUCCUUCCCUGUACACAUGAAUAUGUCCAAAUUGAAUUUUCACAUAUCAACAGAAGUGAAAACUGAGACUAUAUGCACACAAUAUAUUCCAGUUUUUCUGCUUGUGGUUCUCCUUGUGGUUUUCUGCUUCCUGUUGUCUUUGUAUGUAGUGUCUCUCACAGCAACCUGUCCUACACUAGUGUAUUUAUUGUGCCUCUUGUUUGUGCACUGAAAGCUGUAUGAGCAGUGUCUGUAAAUGUUACUCUCAUAUGAGUCAUUAGCAUGUCCUGUUCUCCCUUUUUUCAUACGUAUCCCUUCGCUGACCAUGGUGUUGUAGUCAUGUCUCUUCAGACUUGCUAGAGUUCUGCACUGACCCUGAUGUUAUUAAUCUCUGGGCAGAUUAAUAACACAUAAUAACAUGUGACAGUCUACACAUUUUACUCUGAGGGGCUUAAAACAAGACCAAAAAUGUGGCAAACAUUCACAGGACCUUUGAGUGUUUUUUGCAACACUACAAACACAUUAUGGCUUGUACAAAUGCACCUAACAGCCAAGCUUACAGCCUUGAAGAGUCGGACAAUAACUUCUUUAAAAUGCACUGCUGAAAAGUUAAUACAAAAUGAGUCCAUGGUUUCCCAUUGUCAUUAUAACUCUAGAGUGCUUUAGGCUAUUCAUAUAAAAUACCAAACACUGGCAGAUCUAUAAAGUGUGUGUUUAAACCUAUCAUUUUCCUUCCCAUUUAAUGUACUGUAUAUAUACAGUAUGUACAGUGGUCCCUCGUUUACCGCGGUAGUUACGUUCUAAAAAUAACCCACAAUAGGUGAAAUCCACGAAGUAGCUAACUUUAUUUUUUUUUACAAUUAUUAUAGAUGUUUUAUAGCUGUAAAACCCCUCACUACACACUUUAUACACUUUUCUCCAACAGGCUCGAACAUUUCCACACUUUUCUCUAUGGUUUACACACUCUAAAAGUUCAAAACUUCGUAGAAAAAUAAGACCAGUAUUAUAGAAUAAAACCGAAGGCACCCACGGUUGCCUUUGGUGCAAAACGUUUCAUCGACAUUUUUGUGUUUGCUGGAGAAAACUUACAAACAUACAGUGCAGCACUUCGGAGUCACACUGCUAGCGAUCGACGAUUUAUGUCAAAUUGACAAGCUGAACGCAUUCUGUACUUAACAGGAGAAACGGCACGGAGGAGAUUGAUUGACA